UGGAGAAGGAUGAACAUUGGAGCAAGAACAAGCAUGGAGUUGAUGGCAUGCGCAAGGGGAACAAGAACGGAGUUACAAGUGAUGAUUUCAGGACUUUGAAGCCACCAUAAGGAGUGAAUGAAGCCUUGGACGAAAUAUACAAGAUGCCACUUCAUAAAUUUCGUCCAGAGGCUAUUCUAGGUGCUGCGUCACCUUAUUAUUGGGCCAGGCCCAUGUAAUUUCGAAAUACUUGAGUAUAGGCUGUUUUUAGAGUCCGUAUGUGUGGGGAAACAAGAGAUAGGGUUGGUUUCGGACCCCUUCCCCAAGGGCCACGAAAUUCCCCUUCUCUUCCUCCAUAUAUACAGCCCUUAGGGCACAGUUUAGACUUUGGAUUUGUUUAGAUUAAAAGUUCGCCAUAGCUGCAACUUCGCGUACUUCGUUUGUGUUCAACGACCAGACAAAGGCGUCACAGAACCCCACCUUGAUCAAUAAAGCUUUCCUCUUAUAUUCGCAAUAUCCAGAUUGCAAUCUUAGUUUCUUGCUUGUUCUUCGUUUGCCUGCAGGAAACAGACCUUCGUGGUCAGGUUCAUCGUGCUCCGGCGUGGUCAAUAACCUCUCGGAGUUGGUUUAGUGAUUGCUAAGGCGCGACGUCCUCGCACGUUCGUAGUCGGAUCGUCAAAGUCGGCUUCCUCCAAAACGAUAGCCACCAUCUCAUCGAAAGACGGGACACCUUUGCCUCUAUCAAGUGGUAUCAGAUUUCCAGGUUGCUCGGUGAGAUUUUACAGUUUUUCGUAGUUUAGAUCGAGUCUGUUCUUCAUACCUAUAGUCCACGAAAAAGCCAAAAAAAAUUUAGGGUUAGUUCAUCCUAUCCGAACCAAUCUGAGCCUUUGCAUAAUCUUUUAUGUGUUUGCUUUGUUGAAUUUGCGGUUGCAUCGUCGUGUCAAGUUGCUGGUCUUAGCGUCUAGUCCUUUAGAGUUUCGAGUUCUGUUCACAGGUUGUCACGUCGCCGCUGCCAUAUAUCACCACCGCAUCAUCAUCAUCGCUGCUGCCAUAUACCACCACCGUCAUCGCCGCUGCCAUAUACCACCACCAAAUAUUCGCCGCCAAUCCGAGUCCAUAUACGCCACCACAUAUCUGCCGCCAUCACGCCAAUCCGAGUACACCUGCAACAUAUAUCCGCCACCAGUCCGAGUUCCACCAGAUUCAUCUCCACCACCAGUCUGAGUUCCACCUGAUUCAUCUCCGCCACCAGUCCUAGUCCAAGUCCAGUAUUUUGUUACUCUGUUUUGGAUUUCCAGAUCACGCCAUACUCCGAGUCGUGACAGAGAAGGACUCCCAAACUUCUGUGUUACCCGCAGUAGAAAAAUAGUUCCAGUUUAAAAAAAAAACUAAGUCCGGAAAAUUCUGGCUAGGCAGUUUUUAGACCAUUUGUAGACUUUUUCGAAAAAAAUUGUUGCGGAGCAAAAAAAAGAGCAAAAAAGUGAAAAAAAAGAGAAAAAAAUUCAGAGUGUGCUCCUCCCUUGUUUACGUGCAGCGCCGCGAUUUUGUUAGUGUUCUAGGCUCGCGUCUCUAGCACGGUCUAGCCUAGGACCAGCACAGUACCGUCGUUGAGCGUUUAUUCAACUUUGCAUAUCUGAAUUGAUUAUUGCUGACCCUUUUUGCUACUAUAUUAUAAGCCUUCCCAGCUCCACAUACAUCUACGUCGUGCGUUUGACUCUCCCUGGUAAUCGCUCUAUCCAAGCUUUGAGAGUUUUGACUACAACGGUUGCCGAUCACCACCUGCUGCUGGGUAAGAACUGGUAAGAAUUUGAGAUUCGCUUGACGGAUUUGUGACACACCACCAUCACCACCACUUCCUAGUAGUCUGCAGGAUCAUAUUCUUUUGUGUUUCUAUUGCUACUAACCAUGGCAGGAUCACAAGCCGAUGAGACUGAUUGGGAGAACAUGACGAACAAGGAGUUGCAUGAUAAAUUUCAGCAAAUGAUGAGUGGCCAGGUGGGAGAUGUGCUAAACAGAUUUGAAGAGGCUAUGGAGAGGAUAGAUGCCAUGGAGAAGUCGUUCGAGACAAAGCUGGAUAACAAGUUUAAUGAAUUGCUCAAGCGUCUUCCCCAACCAAGACCGGCUGCACCUGUCGCACCUCUACAACAACAACAACCACAUCUCCAACGUCGCCUUCCAAAUCAAGUGGGACGAGCACAGCGCGUUCCAAUUGAGACUGGUCAAAAUUCGGGUGCCGCUACACCUACUGUUGAUGCUUCUUUGGCUCCUGCUAUUGCGGCGGCUGAGGAGGAUGACGAUUAUGCGGGCGAUUAUGAGGAUGAGGUUGAUCAAAAUCAGAUCUACGUGCAGCCACCAGCACCAUCACCAGCACCUCAGGUAUAUAUUCGCAACGGUAGGCCUGCACCAUCACCUCAGGUACGAGAUCAUGACCAUGUUCCUAAACUGAAAUUGAAUAUUCCACCGUUUGAGGGUAGAUACAUUCCUGAUCUAUAUCUUACUUGGGAGUUAAAACUGAACAACGUUUUACAUGUUUACAAUAUCCCGAGGAGAGAGGGGUUGCUGCUGCUGUUUCUGCUUUCACUAGUUUUGCAUGUGUAUGGUGGUCUGAACAUUGUAGAUUAUAUCCUAUUCCAGCUACUUGGGCUGCUUUGAAAACUGCUAUGCGUACUCGUUGGGUUCCACCAUAUUAUCAACGUGAAUUGCUUCAAAAACUGCAGCGUUUACGACAAGGGAAAAAUUCUGUAGAAGAAUAUUAUCAGGAAUUACAAACUGGCAUGAUUAGAUGUGGUAUUGUUGAGGAUAAUGAAGCUAUGCUUGCACGUUUUAUGGGUGGAUUAAAUAGAGAGAUUCAGACCAUUCUAGACUAUAAGGAUUAUAACAAUAUCACUCGUUUAUUCCAUCUUGCUUGUAAAGCUGAACGUGAAGUGCUGGAUCGACAAGCAUUGGCGCGAACUAACUUUUCUGCAGGUCGACCUUCAUCAUGGACACCGCGUGCAUCUUCUACUUCCACUACACCAGCACCUCCAUCAGGUUCCACCUCCAGCCGUGAUACAAGAAAGCAGGCACAACCACCACUAUCUGCCAAGAGCGCACCUGCCGGGCCUGCACAGAGCUCUUCUUCUUCCAUGGCGUCAACAGGGCACACAAGUGAUAUUAUUUGUCGUCGUUGUAAGGGAAGAGGACAUUUUGCGAGAGAAUGCAAAUCUCAGCGUGUGAUGAUUCCUACUGAGGAUGGUGGGUAUGAGUCCGCUAGUCACUAUGAUGAGGAGACUUUGGCUCUUAUUACACAUGAAGAACACGGUGGAGAUGAUUCUGAUCAUGAGAUGCAAUACAUGGCUGCUGAAGAUGCUGACAGGUAUGAAUGUUUAGUUGCUCAACGUGUUUUGAGUGUGCAGGUUACACAAGCUGAGCAAAAUCAGAGGCAUAAUUUGUUCCAUACAAAGGGAGUUGUGAAGGAACGUUCUAUUCGCGUCAUUAUAGAUGGAGGGAGUUGCAACAACUUGGCUAGCAUGGAGAUGGUGGAGAAGCUAUCUCUCACCGCAAGACCACAUCCACAUCCUUACUACAUCCAAUGGUUCAACAACAGCGGCAAGGUUAAGGUAACACGUACUGUUCGGGUGCAUUUUAGUAUCUCUGCAUAUGCUGAUUAUGUUGAUUGUGAUGUGGUACCUAUGCAAGCAUGUUCCUUAUUACUUGGUAGACCAUGGCAAUUUGAUAAAAAAAUUGUACACCAUGGUAGAAACAAUCAGUAUACUCUUGUUCAUAAGGAUACAAAUAUUACUUUGCUUCCUAUGACUCCGGAUUCCAUUUUGAAAGAUGAUAUUCAUAGAGCUAAUAAAGCAAAACAGGAGAAAAAUAAGAGUGAAAAUCAGAUUGUGGCAAAAGAAUUUGAGCAACAAAUGAAGCCUAAUAAUAAACCAUCUAGUGUUGCUUCUGAAAUUAAAUUGAAAAGUGCAUGUUUACUUGCCACAAAAUCUGAUAUUGAUGAGCUAGUUUUUAGCAAAUCUGUUUGCUAUGCUUUUGUGUGCAAAGAGGCAUUAUUUUCAUUCGAGGACGUGCCUUCCUCUUUGCCCCCUCCAGUCACUAAUAUUUUGCAGGAGUUCGCUAACGUCUUCCCACAAGACGUGCCACCGGGAUUACCACCUAUUCGAGGGAUUGAGCAUCAAAUUGACUUAAUUCCCGGUGCAUCGCUACCCAACCGUGCACCAUACCGUACCAAUCCAGAGGAGACGAAGGAGAUUAUGCGUCAAGUACAGGAGCUGCUCGACAAAGGUUAUAUUCGCGAAUACCUUAGUCCUUGUGCUGUUCCUACUAUUCUAGUGCCAAAAAGGAUGGUACGUCGCGUAUGUGUGUUGAUUGUAGAGGCAUUAAUAAUAUUACUAUUCGUUAUCGUCAUCCUAUUCCUAGGCUAGAUGAUAUGCUUGAUGAAUUGAGUGGCUCUACAAUAUUCUCCAAAGUUGAUUUGCGUAGUGGAUACCAUCAAAUUCGUAUGAAAUUGGGAGAUGAAUGGAAAACAACAUUUAAAAAUAAGUUUGGUUUAUAUGAGUGGUUAGUCAUGCCUUUUGGGUUAACUAAUGCACCUAGUACUUUCAUGCGACUGAUGAACGAAGUUUUACGUGCUUUUAGUGGACGAUUUGUGGUAGUCUAUUUUGAUGAUAUACUGAUUUAUAGCAAAUCUUUGGAAGAACAUUUGGAACAUUUACGUGUUGUUUUUAUUGCUCUACGUGAUGCACGUUUGUUUGGUAACCUUGGGAAGUGCACCUUUUGCACGGACCGAGUAUCUUUUCUUGGCUAUGUUGUUACUCCACAGGGAAUUGAAGUUGAUAAAGCUAAGAUUGAAGCUAUUGAGAGUUGGCCGCAGCCCAAAACGGUCACACAAGUGCGGAGUUUUCUUGGACUUGCUGGUUUCUAUAGGCGUUUUGUGAGAGAUUUUAGCACCAUUGCUGCACCUCUCAACGAGCUUACAAAGAAGGAUGUGCCUUUUGUUUGGGGUACCGCACAGGAAGAAGCCUUCACGGUAUUGAAAGAUAAGUUGACACAUGCUCCUUUACUCCAACUUCCUGAUUUUAAUAAGACUUUAGAGCUUGAAUGUGAUGCUAGUGGAAUUGGAUUAGGAGGUGUGUUAUUACAAGAUGGCAAACCUGUUGCAUACUUUUCUGAAAAAUUGAGUGGGCCUAGUCUGAACUAUUCUACUUAUGAUAAAGAAUUAUAUGCUCUUGUUCGGACUUUAGAAACAUGGCAAUAUUAUUUAUGGCCCAAAGAAUUUGUUAUACAUUCUGAUCAUGAAUCUUUGAAACACAUUAAAAGUCAAGCAAAACUGAACUGUAGACAUGCUAAAUGGGUUGAAUACAUUGAGACUUUCCCUUAUGUCAUUAAACACAAGAAGGGUAAAGAAAAUGUUAUUGCUGAUGCAUUGUCUCGUCGUUAUACUAUGCUUUCACAACUUGACUUUAAAAUAUUUGGUUUGGAGACCAUCAAAGAUCAAUAUGUGCAUGAUGCUGAAUUUAAAGAUGUAUUGCAGAAUUGUAAAGAAGGUAGAACAUGGAACAAGUUCGUCGUUAAUGAUGGAUUUGUGUUUCAUGCUAACAAGCUAUGCAUUCCAGCUAGCUCCGUUCGUCUUUUGUUGUUGCAGGAGGCGCAUGGAGGAGGACUAAUGGGACACUUUGGCGUGAAGAAGACGGAGGAUAUACUUGCUACACAUUUCUUUUGGCCAAAGAUGAGACGGGAUGUUGAGCGUUUUGUUGCUCGCUGCACUACAUGUCAAAAAGCGAAGUCACGACUCAAUCCUCAUGGUUUAUAUAUGCCUUUGCCUGUACCUAGUGUUCCUUGGGAGGAUAUAUCUAUGGACUUUGUUUUAGGUUUACCUCGAACAAAGAAGGGGAGGGAUAGCAUAUUUGUUGUCGUGGAUAGAUUCUCGAAAAUGGCACACUUUAUACCAUGUCAUAAAAGCGAUGAUGUUGUUAAUGUUGCUGAUUUGUUCUUUCGUGAAAUUAUUCGCUUGCAUGGUGUGCCAAAUACUAUUGUUUCAGAUCGUGAUACUAAAUUUCUUAGCCACUUUUGGAGAUGUUUAUGGGCUAAGUUGGGGACUAAACUGCUUUUUAGUAUACUUGUCACCCCCAAACUGAUGGACAAACUGAAGUAGUCAAUAGAACAUUGUCUACUAUGCUUAGGGCUGUUUUGAAGAAUAAUAAGAAAAUGUGGGAAGAAUGCUUGCCUCAUAUUGAAUUUGCUUAUAAUCGUUCAUUGCAUUCUACUACUAAGAUGUGCCCUUUUGAAAUUGUGUAAGGCUUCCUACCUCGUGCACCAAUUGAUUUGUUGCCUCUUCCAUCUUCGGAGAAGGUUAAUUUUGAUGCUAAAGAACGUGCUGAAUUGAUUUUAAAAAUGCAUGAGUUAACUUAGGAAAACAUUGAGCGUAUGAAUGCUAAAUAUAAACUUGCUGGAGAUAAGGGUAGAAAACAUGUUGUGUUUGCACCUGGAGAUCUUGUUUGGUUACAUUUGCGUAAGGAUAGAUUUCCUAAUUUGCGCAAAUCAAAGCUAAUGCCACGUGCUGAUGGUCCUUUUAAGGUGUUAGAGAAAAUAAAUGAUAAUGCAUAUAAACUUGAGCUGCCUGCAGAUUUUAGGAUUAGUCCCACUUUUAACAUUGCAGAUUUGAAGCCUUAUUUGGGUGAGGAAGAUGAGCUUCCGUCGAGGACGACUUCAUUUCAAGAAGGGGAGGAUGAUGAGGACAUCAAUACCAUUGUUACACCCACAGCCCCUACUGUUACAUAUAAUGGACCAAUUACUAGAGCUCGCGCACGCCAAUUAAGUUACCAGGUACUUUCGUUUCUUGGUAAUGAUUCUAAUGUUCAUGAGAAUAUGAUGCUGCCUAAAUUGGAUACUUUUGUUUUCCUUACAAAUGAAGGGCCUAGCUUUGAGAAGGAUGAACAUUGGAGCAAGAACAAGCAUGGAGUUGAUGGCAUGCGCAAGGGGAACAAGAACGGAGUUACAAGUGAUGAUUUCAGGACUUUGAAGCCACCAUAAGGAGUGAAUGAAGCCUUGGACGAAAUAUACAAGAUGCCACUUCAUAAAUUUCGUCCAGAGGCUAUUCUAGGUGCUGCGUCACCUUAUUAUUGGGCUUGGCCCAUGUAAUUUCGAAAUACAUAAGUAUAGGCUGUUUUUAGAGUUCGUAUGUGUGGGGAAACAAGAGAUAGGGUUGGUUUCGGACCCCUUC
rnacentral:lncRNA from 1 species